UACGGAAGGCAGCAGUGGGGAAUAUUGGACAAUGGGCGCAAGCCUGAUCCAGCCAUGCCGCGUGAGUGAUGAAGGCCCUAGGGUUGUAAAGCUCUUUCACCGGUGACGAUAAUGACGGUAACCGGAGAAGAAGCCCCGGCUAACUUCGUGCCAGCAGCCGCGGUAAUACGAAGGGGCUAGCGUUGUUCGGAAUUACUGGGCGUAAAGCGCACGUAGGCGGAUAUUUAAGUCAGGGGUGAAAUCCCGGGGCUCAACCCCGGAACGGCCUUUGAUACUGGAUGUCUUGAGUCCGGAAGAGGUGAGUGGAAUUGCGAGUGUAGAGGUGAAAUUCGUAGAUAUUCGCAGGAACACCGGUGGCGAAGGCGGCUCACUGGUUCGGAACUGACGCUGAGGUGCGAAAGCGUGGGGAGCAAACAGGGAUUAGAUACC
rnacentral:rRNA from 1 species